GCCAACUCGGGUUGUGUAUUCCCUCUGACAAGCAGCUAUGGGAUUAGCAAAAUAGUCCAGAUAUGUGUAGCUAUCUCCUUGGUCACCUCUGAAAACAUUCUUAAUUAACCCUGCCCUUUCCACCACUGAUAUGGUGUUAUUGUUUCGUACGAGCGCUGCUUUUUUAUUACACUGUCUUACGGAAGAAUGUCAAUAUAUGUGGCUUUAAGUAGAGCUGGAAAACGAACUUGCCCCUGAGCUAACUGGCUAGCCCGUUAGCAGGCUCGGCUCGGCUCGACUCGACGACAUAAUAGGCUACUGUGCUUCUUGGAACACGGUGUGCUCGUCGUGUCAGUUCAACCCAGCGCUAAUCGAGGAUAGUAUCGGUGAUUUUCAGAUAGUAUCGAUGGUCUACUUUAUCUUUAACGAUUGCCUUUGUUGUGUGAUCAUCUGCUCUGACCGCGGGAUGGAGUGGCACUAGCUUAGUUUGCGAGCAGGCGAGCAAUUUAGCCAGUCCCCGGUGUCUUCGCAGCGUUAGCAGAGCACUGCUCUCAUUGUGCCGGCUAAAAAUACACUUUUUGUCCCAUGCUCAGUGCGCCUCCAAAAGUGGUGGGCUAGUCUACAUUGGACUUCUCUUCGGCUUUUCUGGUCACCUUGCUCUAAAUUUGGCCAUCUACAUGGUCACUACAGUGAAUGUAAGACGACUGGAAGAACGAGUCGGACCCCGAGGUUGUGAGCCCUGCUGGCCUGAUCUAACGUUAACGUUACAUCGUACCGGCUGGUGGGCUUCAGGUCUCAAGUGAACGAAAAUUCGGCUUUGGCUGAUCGGUGGCCGAAUAUCAUUUUGCACCAAUGGCCUUAUACUGUAAUUAUUGGUAACAUAGCGAGCCUUGGUCCAGCCCAGGGUUGAAGGACCGAAACUUCGUGAAGGUCAGAGAAAAACGCUUUGGGUCUACUGUCGGAGAUUAGGGAGGCAGACUUCAUCUGUCCAGAGCACAGCACCAUGUCGGAGGAUAACAACGCAGACAAGUUUAUCAAGGAGACAUCCAUUCUAGACGAGUAUAACAUAAACUGGACACAGAAGUUGGGAGCCGGCAUCAGUGGACCUGUCAGAGUUUGUAUGAAGAAGUCAUCUCAGGAGCGCCUGGCCCUAAAGAUCCUCAUUGAUCGCCCCAAGGCCAGGAAUGAGGUGCGUCUCCAUAUGAUGUGUGCCAACCAUCCAAACAUAGUGCAAAUCCUGGAGGUUUACGCCAAUAGUGUUCAGUUCCCGCAUGAGUCCAGCCCAAGAGCGAGACUCCUGAUUGUUAUGGAGAUGAUGGAGGGUGGCGAGCUGUUCCACAGAAUCAGUCAGCACAGGCACUUUACUGAAAAGAUGGCCAGCCAGGUCACUAAACAAAUCAGUCAAGCCUUGGAACAUUGUCACUCCCUAAAUAUUGCACAUCGUGACCUGAAGCCAGAGAACCUGCUCUUUAAGGAUAACUCUCUGGAUGCACCUGUGAAGUUGUGUGACUUUGGCUUUGCCAAAAUUGAUCAAGGAGACUUAAUGACCCCUCAGUUCACUCCCUACUAUGUAGCACCUCAGGUACUUGAGGCUCAAAGACGACACCAGAAAGAAAAGUCUGGAAUUAUACCUACCUCACCCACUCCUUAUACCUAUAACAAAAGCUGUGACUUGUGGUCUCUCGGUGUGAUCAUCUACGUGAUGCUGUGUGGCUAUCCUCCGUUCUACUCCAAGCGCCACAGUCGCACCAUCCCGAAGGACAUGAGGAAGAAAAUUAUGACCGGCAGCUUUGACUUUCCUGAAGAUGAGUGGAGCCAGAUUUCAGAGAUGGCCAAGGACAUUGUACGCAAGCUGCUGAAGGUGAAGCCAGAGGAGAGGCUGACUAUUGAGGGAGUCUUGUCUCACCCUUGGCUCAACUGUACUGAGGCACUUGACAACGUGCUGCCCUCAGCCCAGAUGAUGAUGGACAAGGCGGUAGUUGCAGGUAUCCAGCAGGCCCAUGCAGAGCAGCUGGCCAACAUGAGAAUUCAGGAUCAUAACGUCGGCCUGAAGCCUCUAAACUCUGUCAACAACCCAAUCCUCAGGAAGCGAAAAAUGCUAGGCCCCAAGCCCAGUGACGGUUUCUUCAUUCAUGACCCGGAGAAUGGAGGGGAAGACUCCAACGUAGCUCUGGAAAAAUUACGAGACGUCAUUGCACAGUGUAUACUACCACAAGCUGGAGAGAACGAGGAUGACAAGCUGAAUGAGGUGAUGUAUGAAGCCUGGAGGUUCAACAGAGACUGUAAACUGCUGAGAGAUGGCCUGCAGGCGCUUAGCUGGGACGUAUUACGAAUUGGGUGUCUUUGACGACAUUCCGGGGAAAAAUCUCAUGCGGCGCACAGUUAGUGACCAAUUUCCAUCACCCAGCAGUGGUUGCUCCACCAAAGAGGGAAGAUCCUUCUCCGAUAAAGUCGACCGCUUGAAGUUGGCUGAAAUAGUGAAACAGGCCAUCGAAGAGAAGACAAAUCUCCAGGAAUCUAAUUAGCAAACGCUGUCUUUCUAUCUUCUUUUUAUAUUGUUUAUUAUGACCCUUUUUUAACCCAUAUAUGUAAAGAGGCUUUUUUCAUGAAUUCACUAGCAAGACCUAUUGUACAGCUGUAGAUAUAUUUCAAAGAGGACUCAUUGGUACUAUAAUUCUUUUUUUUUUAAAUGGACACAAACAUUGCAAAAAAACCUAUAUUUUCAUUUUUGCAAAAAAGAGAAAAGAGAAAAAUCAGUUAAAGAAAUAAUUUUCUGGGAGGGGAUUUUGUCCAAGGCAUCACAUUUUUUAUCCCAGUUAUUCCUUUUAUUCUGUUUUCUUUUAACCAUCAUAAGACUUUUAUUUAUUUAAACAAAAAGUUCCAUUAUUUUAUAUUUUACUUGUAGCCUGGCAGUGGACUCUAGUCGAGAGAAGCUGUUUAUGAUGUGACUUUGUUUUUUUACACACACACACACUCUUGAUUCUCAGACUGCAUUAUAUGAAUCUUUGUUUUUGUUUUUUUUAACCUUCCCUUGACCUUAUGGUUGUGUAGAGUUCAAGGCAGAGUGGAAAUUGAUGUAAAAAGCUCCAAACUUCAUUGUCAAACUGUUUCUCAACUAGAUCAUGAAGGUUUCAUAAACUGAGUUCAACUCAUACACAUGAAGUGCUUAUACUGCUUGACAGCUCCUGAGGUUUGUGUCUGGCAAGUAAAAUUAAGUUCAUUUUUUUUAUAUAAAGGCAUUUUUAUACGUCUUCCCGUUUCUGAUUCUGACAGGUCUUAAGUUCAGUCUUUGGUUAGAGUUGUUGAUCUGUGAAACAGGCGCAACAUGAGCUGCUUUGAUGUAAAGUUGUAUCUACUGGAAUUCAGACCAUAGUCAAUUUAUAUUUAAGUCCUUUUAAAGCAAAAGUGGUUGCUACUUAAACCAACGGAGACACAAAAACACUGGGCAUUUUUGGUGCAAUGUAGUCAAUGUCUUUAUGCCAAAAGUUUAGAAGAAGGGUUUCAACCUCCAUUAGCAGCAUCACACUUGCAGUGCUAUUGAAUCUGUAAUAGGGAAAUCAUUUACGACUAUUUACUUAUGUAUUCAUAGUGCAUGCAUGUACAUGGUAUUGAAAAAGAUGUAUCAAUUGUCAUUACAAUGGUCUGAAUACCAGCAAAUGCUCCUUCCCUUCGCUCAACUCAUCCUUUAGUUGUUAAUAUGUCGCUGAUUAGCCGAGACUUCUGUGUUGAGCCAACAAAACUUAGAUGGCUGAAAGUGCAAGUUCUCUUGUUGAGUGCCUGAUUAUAUCUGUAAUAAUGUUAUUUGUCUGUUUUGAAAAUCCUCAGAAGUUCAUGAAAAUUCCCCUUUCGAUGAGGUCUUGGCUUUAAGCAGAACAUAUUUUCAUGUCUCGAUUACUGCAUUAACCAUGUGUUUUUUUUUCCUUAAUGAAAAAAAAUAUAAUAUUCUGAGUAAUUAGCAAACAUUGGUGCAAUAUAUUGUUGCUGUCCAGUGACAAACUUGUAUCUCCAAUUUUGAGAUAGACUAAAGGAUCCGGUGUUCCUUUGUUGGUUAAGAAAAUUUUCUUACGCUUAAUAAACCAUUUAAGAAGUUAUUGGAUUAUCUGUAAAAUGCAUUGUCACACAGAUAAAAACAUGGCUGUUUUUCUGAGCUAACAAAUGAAUUGACAUUUUUGGACAGUGCAAUGUAAACUGCACAUUUUCACACCAUUUGUAACUGUCAUGAAGGAAAGAGUCUGUAAUAUUUAAGUUUGGCUUAAAAACAAAUGUGAGCAAAAGAAAUUAUUACUGACAAGAUUCUGAGAGAUCAUUUUGACGAUCUGGCUUGAUGGUUUGUCAGACAGUCUACCUUAAAAGCUUAACUUGUGUUUGAAAAGGCCAUUAAUAUUACAUGGCUAUUUUUACGCUCAAAUGUAAAAUGUGGGUGGCAUCUUCCUCCUUUACUGCUCAGUAAAAAUAAUUACAGGAUAGAGGGGAAACUCUGAAUCAUUUAACUUGUGAUUGAUACUUAUCCUUUUGGCUGUGAUUUGCUUGUUUUCAUUCCACAAGUUGGUGUAUUGGUUUGGUUUGUUAAUGUUAAUUUAUUAUAGUUAUAAUUUUGGGGGAAAUGAUGUCCUAUUAAAAGGAAGCGUUUCCGUGCUGGUGUCUUCUAUUUAACGGGAAAUUUUGGGAGUGGUAUCAAUCUUCUCAUCUCCGCCGCGAAGCUAAUCGUGUGUGUGCUUUAAGUCUCCUCCCCCACCGAUAAAUAAGAGAAUAUUUAUCUUCUGCUAACUGAGUGAGCAUUACUGUUGAAGACUAGUGUAUUUAUUAGCAUCUACUGUAAAGUCAAGGCAUGUAACAUUGAUACUUCGUUCUAACAAUGAAACCCCUAAGGGAAAACCAGUCCUACUCAGACACCCGCUGCUGUCAAAUGGUCAGUCUGGCUCUGUGGUACUACAAAUCCCAGAGGGGCAGUUUGUGUUAAGAUGCUACCUCCCUCCCCUGCAUUGCUGCUGCAGGUGGCCCUCAGACUGACAUUCAGGCUAACAUAGCUUUAGACAUAUUUAACAAAUAUUUAAUAGCUUCCACUAGUCAUUUCCACUCUCAUCUGCUCAAUAAGGUGAGACCAGAUUUCCCAUUUUAUACAAGAAAACAUUUAUUGUUCCUUACAUUGAUGCUGACCGAGGAUAAAAAGCAAACCUGUGUCCUUUUUUAAAAUACCAACUCAUUAAAAAUGACCUGAAAAGCAGAGAGGGUUUAGUCAGCACUUACUGCUCUUGAUAAAUACCAGUUGCUUCCAUUUCCUCUGCUGUAUAUGUACUUGUAAGGUAUGGAGAGGUGUGUUUUAUAUAUUUUGAGCCAUUCCUGUUUGUGUUAAAUCAGGAAGAAAUGUCAAGGAAAGGAAAUCAUUUCAAGGUUUGGAACCUUUUAUCUGCUUUUAGUGGUCUUUCAUUUUUCUCUGGCCUGGCAGUUAUGUAGCAUGUAACUGAAUAUCUCAUGAAAGACUUGCUGCAUUUUUGUCUACACAUCUAUUUCUUUGCCCUUUCUGUCUUCUUUGGAACAUCGUCAACAGGCUGACUUUGAAAUAAAAUAAAGGAAUUCUUUGACCUUUG